UAGUAGAAGAUUCGGUAGAAGUUUAUUACAAACACAUUUCUAUUAACUUUGAAUACAACCAAAAUACAUCAACAAAUAUACAAUAGUGCACAUUAUACACCCAAUUUAUACGUUUUAAUACCUUGCCACGGGGAGUUAAUGAUGCUUACUGAAACAGCAAAUACUGAUCGUUAUCUGUAAAUAAUUCAUAAUCACAUCAAACGAUCAGAGCAGCAGGUACCGAAAUGUUAUGUAUUUGACUGAGCUUAUUCUGUUAUUCAUGACGUACGCCAGGAUGUUUUCCGAAGCUCGAAUAAUUAGCAGGCAACAUUAGCAGGAACAAGCUUUCAGCAGCCAGCGUUUAACUGACGACUUGAUGAAUGUAUGCAAAAUUAUUUACUUAUAAUAACGAAAGAUUAGAUCCCACAGGCUAAACGGUACAAUAGACAAUUAGCACUUUCACUAAAAACGUUUUCUUUUCUCACAAAAAAGUUAUAUAAAGAUGCGUGUUCGUUCCUCAAUACUUUUAUAACCUUAACAGGGUAUAUUAAGUUUUACACGAUGUUUGCGCCAUUCAAAAGAAAACAUGGGGGACCCAAUAAAGUAUAUAUACAAAUGAUCAGCGUAAGGAGCUAGUCAUCUCAUCUUUGAUAUAUCGGACUGAAACUCACCAAGAAGCUACUUAAGUCAGAACCAGCAACAUCGGGCAACUAUAGUGUAUAGCUGUCAUAAAACAAUCGGAAUGAAGUCCUUGUAUGGAAAACUUUUUUAUUUGUCAAGGUAUCGUGACGAAAUUGGUGUUGAUCAUUAUCCAAAGCAUCGCUACAAUCCCAGAAAAAAAUGUUUAGAUCGGACUAAAAUACUUCUAAACGCUCAUGCGUACAGAACUGUGUUUAAAAAAGGAAGAGGGCACAUUGACGCACCUAUAAUCAGAUAGGUAAGUGAUUUUGCAUCUUACUCCUCUCCAAAUCAUUAUAGAAAUGACAACAGGACCAAUCAUGUCCUCAACGGUUUGGAAAGAAAAGGAUAAUAUGUGCUCAGAAACAGAGGGUCAUUGGAGUUAAAUUAUCCUAGAGGCGAUAUCACCAUGACAGUAAGUUUUGAUGAAAGCUUUAAAAGUAUCCUUUGGUGCUAAAAGCAACUGGGAGGCCACUAUUGAAGAAUACUUAAGAAGUAGCAGUGUGGUAUACAUCGGCUCAUAUCCGGUGGAAUUAGUUGUACUUGUCGGUACCCAUGAUUACUUCUCCAGGCAUUUUUAAUUUGAGUUUAAGAGUCAAACUACCGAAGUGGAAAAUUCGUUAAGUGAGCAAAUUAAAUACAUAUACUAUAAGCUUAGGAGCGCUGCUAAGCCUCCUUUACAUGACUA